rnacentral:rRNA from 1 species
CACCGGCAGCUCAAGUGGUGGCCGUUUUUAUUGGGCCUAAAGCGUUCGUAGCCGGCCUGAUAAGUCUCUGGUGAAAUCCCAUAGCUUAACUAUGGGAAUUGCUGGAGAUACUAUCAGGCUUGAGGUCGGGAGAGGUUAGGGGUACUCCCAGGGUAGGGGUGAAAUCCUAUAAUCCUGGGAGGACCACCUGUGGCGAAGGCGCCUAACUGGAACGAACCUGACGGUGAGUAACGAAAGCCAGGGGC